UACUGAGGAAAUUGUUGGCCCUGUGGUGUCUGAUUUAUUUGAUUCUGUGUUGGCUGUGGAGCCAUCCUAGAGAUGUCUUGCAUUUGGGGCGUUCGAUAUUGAGGAUCAGAAGCAAGAUAUUGGCUCUGAGGGUGCUGGGUUUGGGCUGGAGGCAAAUAAUAAGAUUGCUGUUGGGUCACGUUCUGAGGUCGUGCUUGGGUCAGUGGGGGCACAGGUGCAGGCUGUUGCUGUGGCACUACUUGGCGGGGCAAAGCAAGAGCCAACUGUUGGGUAUGUAUUUCAGGUGU
rnacentral:misc_RNA from 1 species